rnacentral:rRNA from 1 species
GACAGAAGGGAGCUUGCUCCCAGAUGUUAGCGGCGGACGGGUGAGUAACACGUGGGUAACCUGCCUGUAAGACUGGGAUAACUCCGGGAAACCGGAGCUAAUACCGGAUAGUUCCUUGAACCGCAUGGUUCAAGGAUGAAAGACGGUUUCGGCUGUCACUUACAGAUGGACCCGCGGCGCAUUAGCUAGUUGGUGGGGUAAUGGCUCACCAAGGCGACGAUGCGUAGCCGACCUGAGAGGGUGAUCGGCCACACUGGGACUGAGACACGGCCCANACUCCUACGGGAGGCAGCAGUGGGGAAUAUUGGACAAUGGGCGAAAGCCUGAUCCAGC